UACGAAGGGGGCUAGCGUUGUUCGGAAUUACUGGGCGUAAAGGGUGUGUAGGUGGUUUAGUACGUCAGAAGUGAAAUCCCUAGGCUCAACCUAGGAAUUGCUUUUGAGACUACUAGACUUGAGUACAGGAGAGGUGAGUGGAAUUCCCAGUGUAGAGGUAAAAUUCGUAGAUAUUGGGAGGAACACCAGUGGCGAAGGCGGCUCACUGGCCUGUAACUGACACUGAGACACGAAAGCGUGGGGAGCAAACAGG
rnacentral:rRNA from 1 species